AUUGAACGCUGGCGGCAUGCCUUACACAUGCAAGUCGAACGGCAGCACGGGAGCAAUCCUGGUGGCGAGUGGCGAACGGGUGAGUAAUAUAUCGGAACGUGCCCAGUCGUGGGGAUAACGUAGCGAAAGCUACGCUAAUACCGCAUACGAUCUAUGGAUGAAAGCGGGGGAUCGCAAGACCUCGCGCGAUUGGAGCGGCCGAUAUCAGAUUAGGUAGUUGGUGAGGUAAAGGCUCACCAAGCCGACGAUCUGUAGCUGGUCUGAGAGGACGACCAGCCACACUGGGACUGAGACACGGCCCAGACUCCUACGGAGGCAGCAGUGGGGAAUUUUUGGACAAUGGGCGCAAGCCUGAUCCAGCAAUGCCGCGUGCAGGAUGAA
rnacentral:rRNA from 1 species